GCUCCAGAGAUAUUCAAGGGGUAACAUGAUCCACAGAUGCCAAGCGUGCACCUGACUUCAAGCAUGUCCUUGUGGUCUAUUAACCAGGUCUGUGGUCAGGAUAUUCCCAGGACUUUAAAUUGCUUUAGCCAGCCAGGAUUUUCCACAUCAACCUUUUUUUUUCUUCUUCAGCAUUGAUCAAAAGACUGGACUCACCCAGGAUUGC